rnacentral:rRNA from 1 species
CAGCCGUAAACUAUGCGCGUUAGGUGUAUCGGUGACCACGAGUUACCGAGGUGCCGAAGGGAAACCGUGAAACGUGCCGCCUGGGAAGUACGGUCGCAAGGCUGAAACUUAAAGGAGUUGGCGGGGGAGCACCACAACAGGUGGAGCCUGCGGUUUAAUUGGACUCAACGCCGGGAAGCUCACCGGAUAGGACAGCAGAAUGAUUGCCGGGCUGAAGACCCUGCAUGACUAGCUGAGAGGUGGUGCAUGGCGUCAGUGACU